GUCGAACGAAGCCUUCGGGUUUAGUGGCGCACGGGUGCGUAACGCGUGGGAAUCUGCCCCUUGGUUCGGAAUAACAGUUGGAAACGACUGCUAAUACCGGAUGAUGACGUAAGUCCAAAGAUUUAUCGCCGAGGGAUGAGCCCGCGUAGGAUUAGGUAGUUGGUGUGGUAAAGGCGCACCAAGCCGACGAUCCUUAGCUGGUCUGAGAGGAUGAUCAGCCACACUGGGACUGAGACACGGCCCAGACUCCUACGGGAGGCAGCAGUGGGGAAUAUUGGACAAUGGGCGAAAGCCUGAUCCAGCAAUGCCGCGUGAGUGAUGAAGGCCUUAGGGUUGUAAAGCUCUUUUACCCGGGAUGAUAAUGACAGUACCGGGAGAAUAAGCUCCGGCUAACUCCGUGCCAGCAGCCGCGGUAAUACGGAGGGAGCUAGCGUUAUUCGGAAUUACUGGGCGUAAAGCGCACGUAGGCGGCUUUGU
rnacentral:rRNA from 1 species